UGUUGAGGAGAAACCUAUGUAAACUUUUAUAUUUGAGGGGUAUAAUUUUUCUAGCUUCUUGGGAAGAUUGAGGGGUUACUUUGAUGGUCCUCUUGUCAUGUUUAUGAUUUAUCGAAUUCUUUAUUUUUUCAAAAAAAUAAAUAAAUAAAAGAGUAAGACUCAAAUAUGGUCUUGUACACAACAAUUGAAAAAUACGAUGUGAUCUAAAAUACACAUUGAUGAAACAUGUUUAAAAUGCUGAAAUAGGUGAAAUAUUUGCCAACUAUAAAAGCCUCGAUAUACUUAUCUCUCAACAACCAGAAACACCUACAAUCAAACUCUUAGAAAGUUUAAUAAGGAUGGACACGUGUGGAGCAAAAAGAUGGAAAGACUAUUGAGGAAUCUCAUGGCAACCUCAAGGCCCAAAGAAGAGAAACCCUGAAGAAAUCCAGAUGCAGCAAAGGGAGAAAAUGGACCUGGGAUGUACAUGUCGGUGGCUCUAAAUUAUGACACACAACCUAAGACUGGGAUGGAAAUAGGGGCGGUUAAGAGAAUUAAAAUCGGAGUGGGAGAGCAUUGCUGUGUAGAAAGAAUCAUGUAGAAAAAUUUGUAUUGAGAGUUUAUUUUUGUGGGGAGUACUGGCCUCUCAUAUUAGCCAGCUUGGUAUUUUCAUCUUCAUAUUGGAGUGUGUUUUUUCUUAAGCA